CCUACGGGAGGCAGCAGUGAGGAAUAUUGGUCAAUGGGCGCGAGCCUGAACCAGCCAAGUCGCGUGAAGGAUGACUGCCCUACGGGUCGUAAACCUCUUUUACCAAGGAACAAAGGGAGGCACGCGUGCCUUCCUGAAUGUACCUUAUGAAUAAGCAUCGGCUAACUCCGUGCCAGCAGCCGCGGUAAUACGGAGGAUCCGAGCGUUAUCCGGAUUUAUUGGGUUUAAAGGGAGCGUAGAUGGGUUGUUAAGUCAGUUGUGAAAGUUUGCGGCUCAACCGUACAAUUGCAUUUGAUACUGGCAGUCUUGAGUGCAGUUGAGGUAUGCGGAAUGCGUGGUGUAGCGGUGAAAUGCUUAGAUAUCACGAAGAACUCCGAUUGCGAAGGCAGCUUACUAAACUGCCACUGACAUUGAUGCUCGAAAGUGUGGGUAUCAAACAGGAUUAGAUACCCUUGUAGUC
rnacentral:rRNA from 1 species